AAUGACACAGCCGGGAAUGCCACCUAAAAGCUGAAGAUGAAAUCUAGAAAUAAUACUGAGAGUAUCCUGGCAUGAACUGGAUCUGAAACAGGGUUGAUGAGAGAGGCUGGAUAGAGCAUUGAUGGACAGCAACAUGAUUACAAAUCAAGAUACAUCUUGAAGAGCAGAAGGAGGGCAAGAACACUGAUGUGUGUAUGAGAUCUGGUCCACUGCGACUAAGGCUGCCCUUUUCUAAUUAAGCAGUGAUGUCAAUUCCCAAAAGGAAAAAAACCCAAACCAGCUGUAGCAAUAAUACAACUGCUUCAGCAAAGGGGAGGCCUUUUGCACAGAUCAAUAUUCUUUGAAUCUGUGUGUCAGAAACAGGAUACCUAAUUCCUUCUGUGGGGAUGAUGCAUUAAUUGCACACUGCAGAAGGGUCUUUCCAGGCUCAUGAAAGCCUCAGGCACUCCUGGGAAAAAUGUUCGGUUGUGCUGGAAGCCAUCUGGGGAGGUCUCUGAUCUCCAUGUACAGGAAAGGCAUUCUCUGGGGAGAAUUCUGUUCUUACUCUUUGUUUUUUAAGGAUCAUCAGUGAUUCGCAUACUCAGAUCUCCUCAGCAGUACGGUCUGCAGUGAAUCAUAAAGAACAGACCAAGAACUCACACAGAGGCUACUAUAAAAGGAAUGGGAGGAAAAAAGAGUUUACAUUUUAAAAAAUAAAAAAAAUCAGGAAGA